rnacentral:rRNA from 1 species
AACGAACGCUGGCGGCAGGCUUAACACAUGCAAGUCGAACGCCCCGCAAGGGGAGUGGCAGACGGGUGAGUAACGCGUGGGAAUCUACCUAGAACUACGGAACAACUGAGGGAAACUUCAGCUAAUACCGUAUACGCCCUACGGGGGAAAGAUUUAUCGGUUCUAGAUGAGCCCGCGUAAGAUUAGCUAGUUGGUGGGGUAAUGGCCUACCAAGGCGACGAUCUUUAGCUGGUCUGAGAGGAUGAUCAGCCACACUGGGACUGAGACACGGCCCAGACUCCUACGGGAGGCAGCAGUGGGGAAUAUUGGACAAUGGGCGCAAGCCUGAUCCAGCCAUGCCGCGUGAGUGAUGAAGGCCCUAGGGUUGUAAAGCUCUUUCAGUGGGGAAGAUAAUGACGGUACCCACAGAAGAAGCCCCGGCUAACUUCGUGCCAGCAGCCGCAGUAACAC